CGGCCGAAACGGGGGGCGCGGUCGGUCAGCGGUCACCUACGUCCCGGGGCGCCGAUGGAGCCCCACCGCCGGGGAGCGUCGGGCGGCGGACAGCGCGUCCGGAGGAGCCCCUCGUCGCGGGCGGCGACGGCUCAAUUUUUGGAGCCUGUACCAUGUGCUUGGCAUUCUUCUAGACUAUGGGAUACAGCAGCAAACCAGAGGAGCAGAUAUCCUAGUGGUCAUGGUGUCGGACAAUAAACAAGAUAUUGCGGUGUGUUAUAAUGGUCUAGUCAAAACCAGAACAGUGAUGAUGCCACAAUAGAACAAUGGCUUGAAAUAGAAGACCCCAAAGCAUGUCAGAAGCAUAACAGAAUACCCAAAAGUCUAUGUAAAAGCCACUCUUCUGUGUACUGUUUUCACAUAUUUAGGGAUAUUUCUGAAACUUUAUUUGAGUCAGCAUCUCCUGUUCCCUAUAUUUGUGUUUUUCUUUCCCCGUCUUUUCUGUAUUCUUUUUAAAAAAUAAUAUAAUGUGACAGCAGAGCUUCUGAAACGGCUUCCAGUCUUUCCUGCUCCCUAGUUCUCUUCCCCUGCUAACCACCCCGUCCCCCGUCCCCUCCCACUCUGUACCAGGGUCGGUCACUGUGGCCCUAGAACACAGCACGAGUGAUGGCAUGUCCUUGAGUUUUAGUCCAAGACAUGGUUUCCAUCUCAGGGGCUCACGCAUUUUCUCUCUUGGCUCCCUCCCUCCCGGGAAGCGGGCCAUCGCAGUCCCAUGAGAGGACACUCAGGAGGGGCCCCUGGGACGAGGAAUGAAGCCCGCAGCCAGCGAGAACCCACCGCUGCCGACAAACAGGGUACAUCAUGAGAAAUGCUGGGCUGAAUGAAGCACAAGCUGGAAUCAAGAUUGCUGGGAG